UCCCGNNGAAUUUAAGCAUNUAAGUAAGCGGNGGAAAAGGAACUAAACAGGAUUCCCUUNGUAAUGGCGAACGAACAGGGAAACGCUCAGGCUUAAAACCAAGGCUCUGGUUUUGGGUUGUAGCCUGCAGAUAUUGCGCUAUCGGUGGCUCGAGCGUAAGCCUCUUGGAAUAGAGCGUAAACUUGGGUGAGAAUCCUUUGUUUCGCUCGGUGUCCGCUGUGUACGGCGCAUGUUCUCAGAGUCACGUUCCUCGGACUUGGAGCGUAAAUUAGGUGGUAGAUUUCAUCUAAAGCUAAAUAAAGGCCCAAGACCGAUAGCGAACAAGUACCAUGAGGGAAAGAUGAAAAGGACUUUGGAAAGAGAGUUAAAAGUGCUUGAAAUCGCUGGAAGGGAAGCGAAUGCAACCACACUCUCUGCUGAGAUUGCCGCGGGCGCUUGCAAGCUCUGAGCUCAGAAGCGCAAGCUCUGUGUUUGGCUGUGCGCGGGCGCUCGUGGUGUUUCUUAGUGAAGAUAUCAGGUGUCACGUACGUUCGAACAGGGCCUUGGGCAUGCAUUUGUCGCUCGUGAGCGAUAUCCUGUGCUCCGUGGGAUUCGGACAUAUGUGGCUUACUGAUUCAGUGGUUUUUUUNNACCCGUCUUGAAA
rnacentral:rRNA from 1 species